GGGGCUGAUUCUGGAUUCGACGGGAUUAGCAAAGCCCAAGGUGCACGUCGAGGUGCGGUAGGCCUCGUAAAUAAACCGCAAAAAAAUAGUCGCAAACGACGAACAAUACGCUUUAGCAGCUUAAUAACCUGCAUUUAGCCUUCGCGCCCCAGCUUCCGCUCGUAAGACGGGGAAAACGCGGAGUCAAACCAAAACGAGAUCGUGUGGAAGCCGCCGUUUGAGGAUCGAAGCAUUAAAUUGAAUCAAACUAGCUUAAGUUUAGCGUGUCUGUCCGCAUACUUAGGUGAAAUCAAAGAUUGACUAAACGUGUAGUACUGAAGGUAGAGUAAUUUCGGACGCGGGUUCAACUCCCGCCAGCUCCACCA
rnacentral:tmRNA from 1 species